rnacentral:rRNA from 1 species
CAUGUCUAAGUACAUGCCGUAUUAAGGCGAAACCGCGAAUGGCUCAUUAAAUCAGUUAUGGUUCCUUGGAUCGUACCUUACUACUUGGAUAACUGUGGCAAUUCUAGAGCUAAUACAUGCAGCAGAGCUCCGACCUUCGGGGACGAGCGCUUUUAUUAGACCAAAACCAAUCGGGCCUCGUGUCCGUCUUGUGUGGUGACUCUGUAUAACUUUGGGCUGAUCGCACGGGCUUGUCCCGGCGACGUAUCUUUCAAGUGUCUGCCUUAUCAACUGUCGAUGGUAGGUUACGCGCCUACCAUGGUCGUAACGGGUGACGGGGAAUCAGGGUUCGGUUCCGGAGAGGGAGCCUGAGAAACGGCUACCACAUCCAAGGAAGGCAGCAGGCGCGCAAAUUACCCAAUCCCGGCCCGGGGAGGUAGUGACGAAAAAUAACAAUACGGGACUCUUUUGAGACCCCGUAAUUGGAAUGAGUACACUCUAAAUCAUUUCACGAGUACCAAUAGGAGGACAAGUCUGGUGCCAGCACCCGCGGUAACUCCAGCUCCUAUAGCGUAUAUUAAAGUUGUUGCGGUUAAAAAGCUCGUAGUUGGAUCUCAGUUCCAGACGGGCGGUCCGCCUACCGGCGGCUACUGCCUGAUCUGAACACACAGUCGGUUUCCUUUGAUGAUCUUCAUCGGUUGUCAUCGGUGACCGGCAAGUUUACUUUGAAAAAAUUAGAGUGCUCAAAGCAGGCGUGACGCCUGGAUAAUGGUGCAUGGAAUAAUGGAAUAGGACCUCGUUUCUAUUUUGUUGGUUAUCGGAACACGAGGUAAUGAUUAAGAGGGACAGACGGGGGCAUUCGUAUUGCGACGCU